ensembl:lncRNA
UUCUAUAACCAGAAAUCCUUUAACCAGAGGUCUAUAACCAGAAAUUCUUUAACCAGAAAUCCUUUAACCAGAGUUCUAUAACCAGAAAUCCUUUAACCAGAGGUCUAUAACCAGAAAUUCUUUAACCAGAAAUCCUUUAACCAGAGUUCUAUAACCAGAAAUCCUUUAACCAGAGGUCUAUAACCAGAAAUCCUUUAACUAAAGGUCUAUAACCAGAAAUCCUUUAACUAAAGGUCUAUAACCAGAAAUCCUUUAACCGGAGCUCCAUAACCAAAAAAUCCUUUAACCGGAGACCUUUAACCAGAGUACUUGAACUUGAAGCCCAAUAGAAUACAUUUGUCUGUUUCUUGUAUGAUCAGCAGGUGGCAGGCUACACCAUGC